ensembl:lncRNA
CAAAGGCACAACUGAGCAUUCACUAACUGAGCUCUACCCAUGAAGGAGCAAACAUCACCUUCUUGGUAUUUUAAGCAAGUUCAAACAACCUCUAAGAUGUGACCGUACUGUCUACUUCACCCAGCCCACCUUUACCAACCUUGCGAAAUGCCUUAGAAAGCCUGAAAAUUCCCAGUCCUCACAAUGAAUCUCCAAGUAAAAGCUCUUCAAAGAAAGUGGGAUCUUUUUAGAGAGAAAAAUAGGAAGCAACACAACCCGACAAUACCACACACAAUCACGCACGACCACAACCACGACUCCACAGCACUGAAAAGCUGGAGGUACCAGGCCAGAGCCAAAAUCACAAUAUUCUGACGAGGAGGAUGAGAGGAAGAGGGAGAGCCGAAGAGGGGACAGAUUCGACUUGAGUCCAGCUGGUAAGGUGUUUUCUUAACCUCUCCCCUUCCCUCCAUCAGAACCCCAAAAUUUAGACGUCCACAGAUCGAAUGCAGGAGCCUUCUGUGGGCUGACGUGGGAAUCAGGCCAAACUUUGUGGGACUGUAUGAGCGAGAGGAAUGGCGGAUAAAUGGCGAGGCGUAUGGCCGACAUACACUCGUAUCAAAGUUCAAAUACUACGGCAGAAAAAAAAUAGAAUAAAACAUAACAAUAAUAAUAGCAAUAAUCAUCUGCAGCGGUGGGAAACUUCUCCAGGUGGUUGCUUCAGUCCUCCUCGAUCAACAAAUCUUCAUCAUUACAAUUAUUAUUAUUAUUGUUAUUAUCAUAAUAUGGGUGGACUAGUAAAUUUCUUUCUUUCUUUUUUAAUCUUCAUCGUUGUUGAGUUAGGUAAUUUAUUUCUUCAUUUCCGAAAAGUGGCUGUCCAUUAAUCUUGAACUGCUACGGUUUGAUCCUUGCUUGGUGCCUCUGUGGCGUUUGCCUCCUUGGGAGGUUCGGCGGCUGGUGUUGAACUAGGAGCAGGGGUGGCCUCCUUUGCUGGGGCGGGAGCUGCCGCUGCCUCUGUAGGCUUGGGGUCGGGGGAGGCAGCGGGGGCCGCUUCGGCUUUGGCUGCUGGUGCCGCAGGGGCCUCAGUCUUUUUGGCGUCGGCCUCAUCUUUGCUCUCGGCUGCAGGGGUGGGUGCCGCGGCCUUAGCCUCGGCUUCCUUCGCGGCCGGGGCCGAUUCUUUGGCCGGGGCAGGGGCGGCUGGUUUCUCCUCGGCCUUGGCGGGCUCUGCGCUCUUGGGCGCCUCCGUUUUGGGCUCAGCGUUGGCGGCAGGUUUCUCUGCCUCCUUUGCGGCAGGAGCUGCGUUCUUUUCCUCCUCUUUGGGUGCCGCGGCAUCAGCUGCUGGCGCCUCCUUGGCUGCCGUGUCAUUAGCUAUCUCCUUAGCAUCACCGGCAGCUGGAGCCCCGUCCUUGUUGUCUUUCGGUGCUUCGCUCUCCUCUGCUGAGGCCCCCUCUGCUUUGGCAUCCUUGUCUUUAGCCUUGUCAUCGUUUACACUGUACCCCUUCUUCUUUUUGCUGAGCUUGCCUCCCAUUUUGUAUCACUG